UUUGACCGGUAUGAAUGGUGUCACGAAAGUUCUUCUGUUUUAAAAAAACACUCAAGGAAAUUGAAUUUGUAGUGAAGAUGCUACAUUAAAAUUGUUAGACGAGAAGUCCCCAUGGAGCUUUACUGAAAGCCUAAAAAAAAUUUUUUAUUUAUUUAUAGGCUAGACAGUUUUGUUGGGGUGAUAGUUUUUUAAAAAGUAACGAAAACGAACUAUGACGCAUGUUUCACUCUGAAAACUUGAAGAGACAUUUGGGGUGUGUUUUAUGAUCUAUUGUUUUGAAUGAAAAAGAUAAUGAAAGCAGAUAAAAGUUACCCUGGGG
rnacentral:rRNA from 1 species